CCCACGUCAACUUCUCCCACCUGACCACAAAGGACUACAUGGAGAUGUACAAUGUCAUCAUGACCGUGAAGGAGGACCAGUUCUCAGCCCUGGGCCUUGACCCCUGCCUUCUGGAGGACGAGCUGGACAAGUCCGUGCAGGGCACAGGCCUGGCCUUCAUCGCCUUCACUGAGGCCAUGACGCACUUCCCCGCCUCCCCGUUCUGGUCCGUCAUGUUCUUCUUGAUGCUUAUCAACCUGGGCCUGGGCAGCAUGAUCGGGACCAUGGCAGGUAUCACCACGCCCAUCAUCGACACCUUCAAGGUGCCCAAGGAGAUGUUCACAGGUAACUCCUCCCUGCCCCCAUGCCCAGGCUCUGCAGGCUGCCCUUGUAGACAACAAUUCCAUUCUGGCUUCUGACUGGGUCCUUCAUGACCCCACACCCAGAAGGCUCCACCCCACACUGGGACACAGCCGGAGCCUGGCUGUGCCACUCAGUGAUUAGCACUCACAAGCCAGGAAGAGAAAGCUACUUGGAAAUCUGGAGCAAACAUGAGCCGGGA
rnacentral:sRNA from 1 species